rnacentral:rRNA from 1 species
CAGUCGCCACGGGAAUACGAAGGGGGCUAGCGUUGCUCGGAAUCACUGGGCGUAAAGGGUGCGUAGGCGGGUCUUUAAGUCAGGGGUGAAAUCCUGGAGCUCAACUCCAGAACUGCCUUUGAUACUGAAGAUCUUGAGUUCGGGAGAGGUGAGUGGAACUGCGAGUGUAGAGGUGAGAUUCGUAGAUAUUCGCAAGAACACCAGUGGCGAAGGCGGCUCACUGGCCCGAUACUGACGCUGAGGCACGAAAGCGUGGGGAGCAAACAGGAUUAGAUACCCCAGUAGUCCCUGUCUCUUAUAC